UAGGGAAUCUUUCCACAAUGGGCGAAAGCCUGAUGGAGCAACGCUGCGUGUGUGAUGAAGGGUUUCGGCUCGUAAAACACUGUUGUAAGAGAAGAAUGACAUUGAGAGUAACUGUUCAAUGUGUGACGGUAUCUUACCAGAAAGGAACGGCUAAAUACGUGCCAA
rnacentral:rRNA from 1 species